CCACUUCACUCUCCCUCUUCAGAGUGCCUGAUGAUAUUUCAUCGCUUCACCCGGCCUUCCACCUAGCAGCCAAAUGGGAGUUCUUCCUUCUCCUGUGUGAGGGAAGAAAGGGAAAAGACAUUUAUCAAACCCCUACUAUGUCUAAGGCAGUGUGCUAAGCUCUUUUGGCAAACAACUCAGAAAGGUUUAAUACCCCCCAGCUCCUUCAAUAUUUCUUUGCUUUAUUAUACAAGUAAUGGCAAAAUAAGAACCAUCUCAGCAGAUGGGCUAAACCAGGUCAAGGACAACUGAGAGAGCUCAAACCCUUCUGUGAGUCAGUGAUGUCUACCCCAAGCACAUAAAGACUUGUGGAAUGGGAAGAAGGGAACUAUUUAUUCCAUUGGCCAUGAAAGUGGCUGAACAUAUGCUGUGGAAGGCUAGAGCUUGAUCAGACAUCAAAGAUGCCAAGGAAUCCACUGAAUCCCAGGCCAUUGCCAGUCAUCUUGAUUUGUCUUGCCCCUGGACUUCGAUGACUCUGGAAGAAAGAAUGAGACUGAGGACUUUGGGCAACUUUGCUAACUUAAAUCCAAUUCAUUUACAAGUCAAGAUAUCACCCUGUUGUGCCAUUGG
rnacentral:lncRNA from 1 species